rnacentral:rRNA from 1 species
CCCUUAGAUGUUCGGGGCCGCACGCGCGCUACACUGAAGGAAUCAGCACGUCUUUCUCCUUGUCCGAAAGGACUGGGUAACCCGCUGAACCUCCUUCGUGCUAGGGAUUGGGGCUUGUAAUUCUUCCCCAUGAACGAGGAAUUCCCAGUAAGCGCGAGUCAUAAGCUCGCGUUGAUUACGUCCCUGCCCUUUGUACACACCGCCCGUCGCUACUACCGAUUGGAUGGUUUAGUGAGAUCCUCGGAUUGGUCCCGGAGCGGCCUCUGGUCGUGCCGGAGCGCCGAAAAGAAUGUCGAACUUGAUCAUCUAGAGGAAGUAAAAGUCGUAACA